GGGGUANUNGCACAAUGGGCGCAAGCCCUGAUGCAGCAACGCCCGCGUGAGGGACGACGGCCUUCGGGUUGUAAACCUCUUUUAGUAGGGAAGAAGCGAAAGUGACGGUACCUGCAGAAAAAGCACCGGCUAACUACGUGCCAGCAGCCGCGGUAAUACGUAGGGUGCAAGCGUUGUCCGGAAUUAUUGGGCGUAAAGAGCUCGUAGGCGGUUUGUCGCGUCUGCUGUGAAAACCUGAGGCUCAACCUCGGGCCUGCAGUGGGUACGGGCAAACUAGAGUGCGGUAGGGGAGAAUGGAAUUCCUGGUGUAGCGGUGGAAUGCGCAGAUAUCAGGAGGAACACCGAUGGCGAAGGCAGUUCUCUGGGCCGUAACUGACGCUGAGGAGCGAAAGCGUGGGGAGCGAACAGGAUUCGAUACCCUGGUAGUCNA
rnacentral:rRNA from 1 species